GAUAGACAAUUUUUUCAGACACAUCUCUCACACUCAAAAAGGCGGAGAAAAGUGAGAAAAUUUGUCAAAUUUUUCAAUAAACAACAUAAAAUUUGUAAAUAAAGCAAAUAAAAUACGUGUUGCCCGCGUGUUGUAAUAAAUAGUUUGUAUGCGUCGCUUGAAGAAACUGUCGAAGAGUCACAGCGUGACGGGUACGCAAGAAAAUGAUGCAUCGCCGACGACAGUCACAGCAACAACAACUGCGCCUGAUGCGGCGGCCCUGACGGAUGCCAAUGGAGAUGGCGGUAGUGCGAGUAAAGAAACACUACUCAAUGCAGAUAUUUUUAAACAUUUUGAUAAGUCUGGCCGCAGCGAAUUCUUGAAAUACUUGAAGCUACAGCUGCAGGAUAGCCCAGAAAGUCCAGUUUUCGAUCGUCAUGGUACAUUUAAGCGCGGGAUCUCAAACGCCAUAUACGAGCUGCUUUGGCAAGCAUUGCGCUUCAAGCUCAAAAAAGAUGUCGUGCUACAUGUGCUCACAGAUGUUGUGGCACUGCACAAGGAAUUUCCUAGUCUUAUACUGGACGUGGUCAACAUUCUGGAUAGUGAGACAUCCUUGAUGACCGAGGGUUUACAGGAGGAGCGCCAUGGAUUUGUGCAAAUUGUUAAGGAUCUGGACAAGGUGUUGCCGGAGAGUUUGCUUAAGGAACGCUUGGAAAUUGAUACGCUACAGGAAGUGGGAAUUGUGAAGAAUAAAAGUUUCUACACGAAAUUCAUCAAAGUCAAGACUAAGCUCUACUACAAGCAGCGCCGCUUUAAUCUCUUUCGUGAGGAGAGCGAAGGAUUUGCCAAGCUCAUCACUGAAAUGAAUCAGGACUUUGAAGAGCACACAACACCCGAUACCAUAAUGGAUAUAAUUAAAUCCCUAAUAGGCUGCUUUAAUCUUGAUCCCAAUCGUGUGCUGGACAUUAUCAUUGAAUCCUUUGAGACGCGUCCUGAUCGCUGGAAGCUUUUCAUACCUCUUCUGCGUAGCUAUAUGCCCACCGGCGCCAUCAUUUGCGAAGUGCUUGGCUACAAAUUCUGCCACUUUAAGGCGACGCGCACACCGCGCUCUUUAUAUCAUGUGUGCGCACUGCUGCUCAAACAUGGGGUUAUUGAGCUGAACGAUGUUUAUGUCUGGCUAACACCUAACGACGGUAGCAUACGUGCACAUUGGGACGAGGAGAUUGCCGAGGCCAGAGAAAUGGUGCGCAAGCUGCAUGUGAUCUCUACUAACAAGAAGGAGGAGGACAAAGAACCACCACCACCUCCAACGACUAAGAAAUUUGAUGAGGAGAAGUACAAUGCUAAUCAAAAGUUUGGACUGUGCGAGGCUCUGCUCAAAGUUGGCGACUGGGACAACGCACUCAAAAUUAUACAAAAAUUGCCAGACCAGUCGGUUGUUGUACAAGAUCCAAUUGCACGCGCCAUUGUGGAGCUGGUACAUCUGUCAGUCGAGCAGAUUUACUACAAGAAAGUCUUUAAGGCACCAGCCGGUCGGAAGCCCAGCCGUAAUCGCUUGUACGAUGAUGCAGCCCUGGUGGCCAAGAUGCAGGCACAGGAGUUUACAGAUUUGCGUAAGUACACAUGGCCCAUGGCCAAUGUGCUGGGCCCAGCAAUGCACUGCGACACGGUUUUGAUGUAUAAACUGGUACGCAUUAUGGGCAAAAUAUUAUUGGACAUGGGCGUGGAUAGCUUGAAUGGCCCACCGCCGAAUUCGGAGCAAGAACAGCAUUAUUACGACAUAAUCAGCUGCCUGGAUGCAGGCAUACUGCCCUCGUUGCUUUAUUUGGACAGCAAUUGUUCCAUGUCCGAGGAGAUUUGGGCUGUGCUUAAAUUCUUUCCGUAUCAUUUGCGCUACAGCAUGUACGCGCGGUGGAAGAACGAUAGUUAUCAGCUGCAUCCGAAUCUGAUACGACGCUGUGGCCUGGCACAGCGGGACAUUAAGGCACUUAUGAAGCGCGUCAGCAAGGAGAAUGUCAAGCCUCUUGGGCGUUUAGUAGGCAAAUAUAGCCACUGUACACCUGGUCUGCUCUUCGAUUAUAUCCUUGUUCAGAUUCAAAUAUAUGACAAUUUGAUUGGUCCUGUCUGUGACAUGCUCAAGUAUUUGACUGCUCUAUCGUUCGAUUGCCUGGGCUAUUGUAUCAUUGAAUCGCUUACCAUGACGGGUCGCGGUCGCUUUAAGGACGAUGGCACCUCACUCUCACUAUGGCUGCAAAGCCUUGCUUCCUUCUGUGGCACUAUUUACAAAAAGUACAGCAUCGAAAUGAGCGGCCUGCUUCAGUAUGUAGCCAAUCAACUGAAGUCGCAGAAGAGUCUUGAUUUGCUAGUUCUGCGCGAACUUGUCCAUAAAAUGGCCGGCGUGGAGUCGUGCGAAGAGAUGACCAACGAUCAGCUGCAAGCGCUUUGCGGCGGUGAGCAGCUACGUGGCGAGGCGGGCUACUUUAGUCAGGUGCGCAAUACAAAGAAGUCGUCGAAUCGCUUGAAAGAGGCUUUAGCGAAUAACGAUCUCGCCGUCACACUUUGCCUGCUGAUGGCUCAGCAGAAGCAUUGCGUUAUCUAUCGCGAAACGGCUGCACAUAGCCAUUUGAAGUUAGUGGGCAGCCUGUAUGACCAGUGCCAGGAUGCGCUGGUGCAGUUUGGCACAUUCUUAGGAUCCACCUAUUCGGUGGAUGAGUACGUCGAACGUUUGCCAUCAAUAAUCACCAUGUUGCGGGAAUAUCAUAUUAACACCGAUGUCGCCUUCUUCCUGGCACGGCCCAUGUUCACACACCAGAUUAAUCAAAAAUACGAUCAAUUGCGUAAGGCAGAUCCCAAUGCCAAAAAGUUGACGACAGCCCAAAAGCUGCAAAAAUAUUUGGAUGCGACGCAGUUGAUUAUGAAUCCCAUUGUGGAAUCGGUGCGAACGUUGCACAGCGCCAAAGUGUGGGAGGACAUAAGUCCUCAAUUUCUGGUCACUUUCUGGAGCCUGAGCAUGUAUGAUUUGCAUGUGCCCAAUGAGAUUUAUCAACGAGAGAUUGGUAAACUGAAGCAGUUGGCGCUGCAGGCUGCCGAUGGCAAGGAUUCGAAUCAGUCCAAAAACAAAAAGGAACAGGAGCGCUAUAUUGCGCUCAUGGAGAAGCUAAAUGAUGAGCGCAAGAAACAACAUGAGCAUGUAGACAAAAUACUGCAACGCUUGCAGGAACAAAAAGAUGGCUGGUUUCUGUUGCGUUCGGCAAAAUCAGCGAAAAAUGAAACGAUUACACAGUUCCUGCAGCUGUGCCUUUUUGCACGCUGUACUUUCACUGCCCUGGACGCGCUCUACUGUGCCAAGUUCGUUCAGACCAUACAUAAUCUAAAGACAGCCAAUUUCUCCACUCUGCUCUGUUACGAUCGGCUCUUCUGCGACAUUACGUACUCUGUCACAUCAUGCACAGAAGGCGAGGCGACGCGCUACGGUCGCUUUUUGUGCGCCAUGUUGGAGACGGUAAUGCGCUGGCAUGCGGAUCAGGCUGUUUUUAACAAGGAGUGUGCCAAUUAUCCAGGCUUUGUGACCAAAUUCCGCGUCAGCAAUCAGUUUUCGGAGGCUAACGAUCAUGUUGGCUAUGAAAACUUUCGCCAUCUAUGCCACAAAUGGCACUACAAGAUCACUAAAGCAAUUGUAUUCUGUCUGGAUUCUAAGGACUUCAUGCAGAUACGUAAUGCGCUUAUCAUACUAAUGCGCAUUCUGCCCCAUUAUCCGGUGUUAUCCAAGCUAGCGCAGAUUAUCGAACGCAAGGUGGAUAAAGUGCGCGAAGAGGAGAAAACAAAACGGCCGGAUUUGUUUGCCAUUGCCUCCAGCUAUAUUGGCCAGUUGAAGCUGAAGUCUCCGCAUAUGUUCAAGGAGAACGACUUCCAUCAGGUGGCUGAGCGCCCUGUAAAGGAAGCAGCGCCCACGCCGCCCGGUAACGCCGUGAAGGUUCCGUCCGGCGACAAGGCGAAUGCGUCUGCUGCCACAACAACGUCGACACCCACAACGAAAACGGUCAGCAGCUCUCCCUUCUAUGAUCAAAAGGCAGGAGGAAAGGAGCCAGAUGCCAAGGCUGCUCAAACAGCACGCGGUGAGGCUAAGCCGAGCAAACCAGAGGGCACUCCAUCAACAGUGGUGUCCCUCUCAAAGACAGUUUCAGCUCCAUCGAACAGCGAACGCGAGAGCAAACGGGAUGCGUCAGCAGCAGCAGUCAGAGAAACCCAAUCGCAUCGGAGCAUGGAUGCCAAGGAAGACCAGCAGCAGUCCAAUAGCAGCAGUACCCAUAAUAAUAUCAGCAACAUUACAAGCAGUAACAAUAGCAACGGUAAUGGUGGCCAAAGCGAACGACGCAGUCGUGAAAGGGAUCGGGAACGCGAAGAGCGGCACAGCUUAAGCAGUACGCGUAGCUCACAGCGCGAUAGCAAUCGCAACAGCAACAAGGAACGUACCGAGGCCGAGUUACAGCAGCGUGCGCGGGAACGUACACAGCGCCUCGAAGAGCUGGAAGCAGCCGCUUUGCGGGCACAGAAACGUGAGAAACUAUCACGACGCGAUGAACGUAGCCAGCACCGACAUGAUGGCGUGGAGACGGUGGAUCUGGUGUCGGGUAGCGGCAGCAGCAGUCAGAAGCAUCGCCACUACGAUGACUAUGAAGGCCGCCAGCGGGAUCGUGAUCUGAGUUCGGUGUCCAACGAGAGCAACGGUUCGCUGCAGCAUCGACGCAGUCACGAGACAAUUGAAUACGAUAAAGAUUCUAAACGUCGUAAAUUGGAAUCAUCGACAAGCAGUUCAAAGGUUAGUAGCAUAUGGUUGCAUACAUAGUACGCUAAGACAACGACCGACCGAACCGCAACCAACGGAGGGCAUAACUAUAAAUAAAUACAAAAACAAACAAACAAAACUAAAUUUGAGUCCCUGAGAGCAUGAGAGAGACGCCUUAAAACACACACAUGUUCCACCAUCUGGUAUAGACGAGAGGUCAGACCAAUUUCAACAACCAACCCACCAAAAGCAAUAUCUACUCUGGACACGAUUGGAUCUCGUCCUAGUUCACCAAGUGUAUUCUCUAAGUAUACAAUAGAUGCAUACAAUGGGGGUAUUAACUCUAUAGUCUUAAGGUAUAUGUAAAUAUUAAGUUAAGCGCACAGUUCAACUGUUUUGGGAGAAAACAUGUUUAUGUGUUAAGUAUAUGAGAUUUUAGUAGGACAUUAUUGUUUAAUUUUUAGGAAGUUUUUUGCAAAAUAGUCUGUAGCCUCGAUUUUAAGCCUUAUAUAUUGAUGCAAAAUGUUAAGUAGUUUGCGUGUAAGUUAAGAUAGUUAUAUUAAAACAAAUGGACCACAACAACAACUACAAAGGACUAGUCAAGCCGAUGAAGAUAAAAACAAACUCAGGAAGCCAAGCAGAGUCGGUGUAUGCUGCAAAAUCGCACAUUUCUACACAAACAAAGACAACGACGUUUAAAAAACAGUACUACUAUAAACAUAAAAUCAUCAUUGGACCUACAACAUCUUAGACGCACCUUAAUUAAAUAUCGCAUGAGACGCUCAUAUACUCAAGGCCCAAAUCGCUGAUCACAACAACUUCGCCAUUCUAAAUAAACGCAGUCUGGAGAUAAAAUCAAGCAAAACCCAUCGAAACCAUUUGGAUCUAAAGCCAUUUGACGUUUUCAACCCGGAAGGCUAAACAAACAGGAGAGGUGGCAGGUUACUUUGUGUAAAUUAGAUAAAUUUCCACAAAUUAGUCCUGCUAAGCAGAUAGAUGACCACAACUUGGCUAUGCAGACCUAUCCAAACAACGGCAGAAAAUCCCAGGAUGACAAACACUUCAUUCCAAAAACAUAAACAUUCCGAAGAAGAAUCCUUUCAUAUAAAAAAAUUUACCUUACAACACUGCGCGCAAUUGAAUCAGAUGAUAACUGAAGUCUUAGCGAUCCUUUCAACAAAUCAGUUUAUGGAUCUUCACCAGAUAAAUCAGCUAUAUACAAGAAAAUCAUUCCAAAGCAUUUAACCCACGGGUCUUCAUCAGGCUGGAGUCUACAUCUAAGAACCUGAGAUAUCUAUUUUAAAAUAAUGGAAAAAAUAAUUUACUGUUAAAAACCGGCUAACUUCGCAUCAAACGGCCCUUGCUCACUACCUAUAGUAUAACCCAUUUCAAAACGUGGAACAGCAGCUAAUUCUUCAAAGUAGACCUUAAACUACAAUCAGGAAAUUUGCAGUUGUGUGACAAAAGAACUAAAGCUAUUCAAUUCCACAACUUUAAAUCGAAAAGGAGUCGUUAGAGAGUCGAUUAAUCAACAAUGAAGAAAUCACAAAUGCCUUCCAAAAAUUGGACCAAUUCAGCAGCGGAGAAGUCUUUAAAAUCAUCCGAAACUAAAAAAAGUCAACCAAACUCUAUGGAACAAUACAAAAACCUAUCUUAACAAAAAAAGCAACACAAAUUCUACAAAAAAUACAAAAUACCAAAUGGAACACUAUUCCCCCUAGACGAUUGUGCGCCCAGCGUUGUCCAACACUGCUCCGACUCUCCAAUUCAGCACAAUGCCGAUUGCAGAUUAGUUCUUUAUUCGUUGAUCUUGAUUGUGGGCAGACGGAAAGUGGAGGAGCUCGUAGAUAGUGUGAAGAAGGCGCGCGGCCUCAAGACCAAAGAGCGCAAUAAGGAUAAGCUGUCUGACG